CAGUAGCCCGCCAAAUGUAAUGCAUUUCUGAUUUUCACCCCUCUCUCACCCCCCUCUAUCUCUUUCUCUCUCUCCUCAUUUCAUUAAUCAACAGCGUUUAAUGCUCCUUUUCUCUCCUCCUUUCACCUUCGUUUCUGGCUCCUUCUCUCUCCUGCUUUCCGGUGAAGAAUGACCGGACGACAUAUCUCCGGUUUUGUGGUUCGUUUCCUUUUUUUAUUGGAUUUUAAACCAUCAUCCUUAUUUUUACCAAUUUUGCGCUCUCUCUCAUAGAACUUCGUCUUCGCAAAAUCCCCCCUUUCAUCUAUCUAGGGUUAGGGUUUUCUUCUCCUCAAUCGACCGAUCGACAAUUUUUCCCCUUUAUAGACGACAAAUAUAACCAUGGGAGCUGAAGGUGAUUCUAGCGACACCGCAUCUGUUGCCGCUGGCGAAGUUUCCGUUAAUAUUCGCUGCUCAAACGGCUCGAAAUUUACCGUGAAAAUGACGCUUGAUUCUAACGUCGGCGACUUCAAAUCUGUCGUUGCGCAAAACUGCGAUGUUCCUGCCGAUCAGCAGAGGUUGAUCUACAAAGGUCGGAUUCUCAAAGAUGACCAAACCCUAGAAAGCUAGGGAAUUGAAGAAAUGAUGAAGCCUAAGUUGGAGGCCACCUCAAGGACUAAGGAGUUGAUGGAGGAAGUACCCUAGGCCUAAUUCAUCGACAAUUGGGAAGAUAUUUGCACAUUAUUUGCCUCGAACAGAUAUGUCACCAAGUCUUAAGGGCGGUCAAGCGGCACGUUAAUGGCACAAAUGAUGAGUUCGAUGAUCUGAAAUUAUUUUGGAUCUUAUUAUGUAUUGACGGGUAGCAUUUUAGUAUUUUAGGUAUAUUAGGUUGGAUCCUAUGUUUUAUUGGAUGUCAUAUUUGAAAAUUUGGAUCUUAUAUAUUUGUAUUUUACAGUAUCGUAGACAUAUAUAUUUUAUUUUACAAUUAUUUUCUAUUUUACAGUACUAUUGUAAACAUAUACAGUACAGUCUAACACUUGUAUAUAAUUUCAACAUUUUUAAAUGUUUCAUAUAUUAUGUUUACCAUUCA